rnacentral:lncRNA from 1 species
AUGCCGCCUCACAUGAGAGAAUUUGUAAAAUUUCAAAUUUAUAAAUUAGUUUUUGAAAAACCAAAGCACGGCACUGACAUGUGCAUAUAUGCACUCAAGGAAAUAGUCAGUUUGUAUAGGGCUAAAAAUUCAUCUGUCCUCAUGUGUUUCAUUGAUGCCUCUAAGGCUUUUGAUCGAGUGAACCACAGAAAACUUUUUGAUAAAUUGAAGAGACGGGGAGUUCCUCAAUACAUCGUGAGGAUUCUCUCUUACUGGUACGCUCAUCAGAGCAUGCAGGUUAAAUGGGGAAGUAGUAUUUCUGCCCCCUUUGGUGUCAGCAAUGGUGUCAGACAGGGUGGGAUUUUGUCUCCAAUUUUAUUUAAUCUAUAUGUUGAUGAUCUGUCCAUGCAGCUGAGAGCCUGUAACACUGGGUGUAUAUUAGGUAAAACACUGAUAAAUCAUCUUAUGUAUGCAGAUGACCUGGUUGUUUUUAGUCCAAGCAGUGCUGGGUUGCAGGAUCUUCUUAAUGUCUGUACUGAAUAUGGUGUGCAAUAUGACAUAGAGUACAAUGCUGCUAAAAGUGCUGUUUUGAUAUGUAGAACUAAGCAGGAUAAACAGCUAAAUUUCCCUUUGUUUAAACUGGCCCAAAAAACUCUUGAAGUUCAUAAAAAGGUGAAAUACCUCGGUCACUUUAUUACUGAGGAAAUGAAUGAUGAUGAUGACAUUUACAGACAACGAUGUAAGCUCUAUGUGCAGGUAAAUACUAUUGCACGCAAAUUCAGCUUUUGUUCACUUCCAGUUAAAGUGGCUUUGUUUAAAGCGUAUUGCACACCGCUAUAUACUGCCCCCUUGUGGUCAUCCUACAAACAAUGUAGCAUGCAGAAGCUGCAUGUUGCAUAUAAUGAUGCGAUGAGAAUCCUUUGCAGGAUACCUAGAAGUGGUAGUGCCAGUCAGAUGUUUGUAGCUGUGGGUGUUUGGACUUUUAAAGCACUUUUAAGAAAGUUAAUGUACAAUUUUAGAGAACGACUGGAUGGUUCAAGUAACAGUAUAAUUUUAGCACUUACAGAUCCGACACUGAGUGGUUCCCGUUACUCAUCCAGUCUGAGAAAGCACUGGUUAAAGUGUUUGUGUAUUUAUUGA